CGACGUGAGUGCUGCUCGGCUCCUCCCCCACUGAAUCUAGUCAGGAAGAAACUGCAGUGACGUCGCAGCGUCACAAAAAGAGAAGAACUACUUGAGACGCAAGCGUCCUGAAUAUUUGAAUUUAUUAACUGUUUAUAUUGGGGAGUAUUUGUAAAUAUCAACGUUUUAUUAUUAAGUUGUCAUCAAAAGUGUACAUACAUUGGGCUAUGUAAACUUUUGACGGUAACGUUUUUGCUUUGUUAAACAGGUGCAGACGCCAGUGGUCAUAUCGGUGGUGAGUAUAUCGCCCGUGAUGCUGUAAAAGCCAAUGCAUCGCCUCUUGUGGCCCCCCAGCCAAAUUCCGCAACUCAGUGCAGCUGGGAUUCAAACGAGGAAGCCUCCAAUUGCAUUACUCACCCCGCAGUUUAAGUGACAGUGUCUUUAAUAGAUCAGUUUUACGGCUCAAUACUUGGAGCCUGAAGACAGUCAGUUGAUCCAGCUGUGCUUUAUUGGAUUUAGAAUCGGACUGGGCUAUGGACCACCAACCC